UUUUUUGCCAUAAAUGGCGCUGUAAAAAACUGAAAUUAUUUGUAAAUUUGUUAAAGUAAGAUUAAAAAAUAAAUAAAAAUGUUCUUAUUAUAAGCUCUAGUAACAACUUCACAAAUUAUGUAAUCUUAUCAACUGCCAUCUAUGGCAAGAAAUGUAACUAUUUUGGUACUAAAAUUUUUAUUACACCUAAAAAAAUCCCGUUUCUUUCAUGUUUUGUGACUGGAUGCAAUGUGGAUAUGCCACAUGUUUAGAGAAUUUUAUUUAGAAUUAUAGAGAAUGUUUAGAGAUGUUUAUUUAAAGAAUCUAAAGAUCUGGAAUUAUUACUAGUGCAGAAUGAUUCCUAGAGAAAAUAGACUUUAGACUACAAAUCAAGAGAUUUCGUUUGCAAAAGACAUUUCGCACCCCACUUUGUUACUAAACAAUGGAAUGCUAUUAACAGAAGUAUGUGGAAUUUUCUGGGAAUAAAUGCGAUCUUAGGUGAUGCUAAACUUAUUUUAUGAGUCGUUCAGAUGACAACAGAAGAAUUUUCAUAUUUUCUGACACUCCUCAUCUCAUAAAAAUUGUCGCUUUGAAUGAUGAAUUUCAUAAAUGAGAACAUUAUCAAGUUUUGUUUGCCUGGAUUGCAAAGCAAGACGUUUAAAAGUUUGUCCUAAUCUAAUUCCUAAUCAUAUUUAUCCAAACACUUUUCAAAAAAUGAAAGUGAAAUUGGCUACCCAAGUAUUUAACAAGUUAAUUGCAGAUAGACUGAAGUUUUAUGCUCACAGGAAUAACAUCAAUAUUACUGAUGUAAAUCUAACAAUCAGAUUCACAAAACGUAUAAAUGAUCGUUUUGAUGCUCUUAAUAGACGAUUUCCUUCUGAAGAUGUGAGAAAAGAAUCAAAUGAUCUACAAACAACUUAAAGACAACCUCAAGUGGCUAAACAGUGUUAAAAACAGGCAUAUUCUACCAAAAGAGUUUUUAACUCUCCAAACAGCUGGGGGCUGUAAGUUACUUUAUGUCAGCUACAGAUCUGAUUCAAUUUGAUACAAAUCUGAUUUCUAUAUGACUGCAAUUACACUUAUGUUUUAACAGGGAAAAUUAAACAAGAUCCUUUUGAGGUAAGCAUAUAAGCUAAAUUAAAGAAUUUUCAUCAAUUCGAUAAUUUUUUUUUAUAUAUUAACGCUUCUUUAGUACAAUUCGUCAAGCUAGUGGGGAAAUGAUCAUCCAGCAGUACUAACAUUUAUACACCUUUAAUAACUGCUGAUGAUUUACUCUUUGAUAAAAUCAUUCAUAUAUGGAAAUUGCACUAUUAAUUAAUGAACAAUAACCAAUUUUGGAUUUGAUAGAUUUCCAGCCUUUGACAACAGAAACCUCAAAUUCAAUAAAAGCCACUCACAUUAAUAACAUUUAAAAAGGCUGGACACUCUUUUAAUUCAGUCACUUCCAGAAUGUGUUGCUGUUUUUGAACAUGAUUACAGCAAAGCAGAAGUACGAGACUGCAUUACAGUAUUUACUCUGUCUGUGGUUUUAUCUUUAGACAUUUUCUAAAGAAAACUCUAUCAAGUUAGCAUCGAGGCAUUUUCUACAUGCAGUAAUUCUUUUCCAGUUUAAAAGAAGCUGAACUUGUUAAUGUGAAAAAUAGAAACGGAUUAAUUUAUUCAAAAAAUAUCGAUUUGGCUACAAAUACAAAAUUGUGAAGACUACUUUGAAAAACAUUAUAAAGUAUCUGUUUAUGAAAAGUGCAUAAAACAGGUUUUAUGUAACAAGGCAUUGAAAUUUCUAUGUAAAGAACAUGCAGAAGAGAUGCUAGGUUACAUAAUUUAUUAUUAUAUUCUAUUAAGAAUAAUGCCAAUAUGCAAAA
rnacentral:lncRNA from 1 species